rnacentral:rRNA from 1 species
GACGAACGCUGGCGGCGUGCUUAACACAUGCAAGUCGAACGGUGAAGCCCAGCUUGCUGGGUGGAUCAGUGGCGAACGGGUGAGUAACACGUGAGUAACCUGCCUCUGACUCUGGGAUAAGCCUGGGAAACGGGGUCUAAUACUGGAUACGAGACGCUCGGGCAUCCGAAGUGUCUGGAAAGAUUUAUCGGUCAGAGAUGGACUCGCGGCCUAUCAGCUUGUUGGGGGGUAAUGGCCUACCAAGGCGACGACGGGUAGCCGGCCUGAGAGGGCGACCGGCCACACUGGGACUGAGACACGGCCCAGACUCCUACGGGAGGCAGCAGUGGGGAAUAUUGCACAAUGGGUGCAAGCCUGAUGCAGCGACGCCGCGUGAGGGAUGACGGCCUUCGGGUUGUAAACCUCUUUCAGCAGGGAAGAAGCGAAAGUAACGGUACCUGCAGAAGAAGCGCCGGCUAACUACGUGCCAGCAGCCGCCGUAA